rnacentral:rRNA from 1 species
GAUGAACGCUGGCGGCGUGCCUAAUACAUGCAAGUCGAGCGAACAGACGAGGAGCUUGCUCCUCUGACGUUAGCGGCGGACGGGUGAGUAACACGUGGAUAACCUACCUAUAAGACUGGGAUAACUUCGGGAAACCGGAGCUAAUACCGGAUAAUAUAUUGAACCGCAUGGUUCAAUAGUGAAAGACGGUUUUGCUGUCACUUAUAGAUGGAUCCGCGCCGCAUUAGCUAGUUGGUAAGGUAACGGCUACCAAGGCAACGAGGCGUAGCCGACCUGAGAGGGUGAUCGGCCACACUGGAACUGAGACACGGUCCAGACUCCUACGGGAGGCAGCAGUAGGGAAUCUUCCGCAAUGGGCGAAAGCCUGACGGAGCAACGCCGCGUGAGUGAUGAAGGUCUUCGGAUCGUAAAACUCUGUUAUUAGGGAAGAACAAAUGUGUAAGUAACUAUGCACGUCUUGACGGUACCUAAUCAGAAAGCCACGGCUAACUACGUG